CUUGCAUGAUAGUGAUGUUCUGUAAAGUUGUUUAUGUUCCAAGGGAAAACACCAAGGUCUUGCGGGGGAUGACUCAGUAGAUCAUCACUGAGCAGGAAUCAAGAGGACACAAAGACUGAAGAACAUGGAAGCAGCCCUCCCAGAUCUCUGACUGCAGGAGGUGAUCCUGAUUGAAGACCUCCCCAGCUGCUUUGUCAAGACAUCCCAGCCUUCACACCCAGGCCACACUUCUCAUGGUACUCCAAGCUGAUGAUGGAACCCAGUGGAGAUACUAAGCCUGCUCCAUGGUGAUCCUCUCUCCCCAGGCAGAGCACGAGGGAUUUGCAGAAAUGCCUACCCCAUCAUGUCUUUACCUGGCCAACACAGAACAACAGAUGUUUCCAAGCCAUUAAAAGAGCUGGGACCCUCUGGAAUUUGAAGCUCUCCUGAGUGAGCACAGCCCACCAAGAGUUCAGUGGGGUGCCAAGAGACACAAGGAUUCCUAAAUACUUCUUGAAAGUCCACAAAUAGAUUCCUGCUGAAACAGUUCAGAUGGGCAAACCACAUUUUAACUGAAUUAAGAGAUAUGUUUCCAAAUGCAUGUUUUUAUGAUUUUUUUCAAUGCUUAAGAUUUGUGUGCCAAUUUGUUGUUAAGGUGACAACAUUUAUGUGACACUGUUUCUAGUAGCCUAUUAUAAAAGUUAUGUGUUGUUGGAAAAGUAUGAAUUAAAGGAACAAAAUUGACAAAACAUUUUUUCAAUUUGGAUAAAUAAUAUUCCACAAACAGAAAUAUGUGCUUAUGACAGACCCUAGUUUUGUCAUAUUUUUGUGUGCGUGUGUUGUAUCCUUAUAUGAGAAUAGUCUGUGAUUUAUUGCUAUGUA